CGCAAAAGGGCUACCAUAGAGUUUGCCGUCGAACGCUUUGUCUUUAACUGAUAUGACGAGCUUGCUCUGAUUUGAUUUUAUCUGACAAAGAGUGGCGAACGGGUGAGUAACACGUGGGUAACCUACCUCUUAGCAGGGGAUAACAUUUGGAAACAAGUGCUAAUACCGUAUAAUACCAACAACCGCAUGGUUGUUGGUUGAAAGAUGGUUCUGCUAUCACUAAGAGAUGGACCCGCGGUGCAUUAGCUAGUUGGUAAGGUAACGGCUUACCAAGGCAAUGAUGCAUAGCCGAGUUGAGAGACUGAUCGGCCACAAUGGGACUGAGACACGGCCCAUACUCCUACGGGAGGCAGCAGUAGGGAAUCUUCCACAAUGGGCGCAAGCCUGAUGGAGCAACGCCGCGUGUGUGAUGAAGGGUUUCGGCUCGUAAAACACUGUUAUAAGAGAAGAACGGCACUGAGAGUAACUGUUCAGUGUGUGACGGUAUCUUACCAGAAAGGAACGGCUAAAUACGUGCCAGCAGCCGCGGUAAUACGUAUGUUCCAAGCGUUAUCCGGAUUUAUUGGGCGUAAAGCGAGCGCAGACGGUUAUUUAAGUCUGAAGUGAAAGCCCUCAGCUCAACUGAGGAAUGGCUUUGGAAACUGGAUGACUUGAGUGCAGUAGAGGAAAGUGGAACUCCAUGUGUAGCGGUGAAAUGCGUAGAUAUAUGGAAGAACACCAGUGGCGGAAGGCGGCUUUCUGGACUGUAACUGACGUUGAGGCUCGAAAGUGUGGGUAGCAAACAGGGAUUAGAUACCCUGGGUAGUCCACACCGUAAACGAUGAGUGCUAGGAUGUUCGAGGGUUUCCGCCCUUGAGUGUCGCAGCUAACGCAUUAAGCACUCCGCCUGGGGAGUACGACCGCAAGGUUGAAACUCAAAGGAAUUGACGGGACCCGCACAAGCGGUGGGAGCAUGUGGUUUAAUCGAAGGCAACGCGAAGAAACCUUACCAGGUCUUGACAUCCCUUGCUAAUCCUAAAAUAGGGACGUUCCCUUCGGGGACAGGUGACAGUGGGUGGCAUGGUUGUCGUCAGCUCGUGUCUGAAGAAUGUGGGUUAAGUUCCGCAACGAGCGCACCCUUAUUAUAUUGAGUUGCCAGCGAUCUGAG
rnacentral:rRNA from 1 species